CUGGAGAAUUGUGUGGAUGGAGUGGGGAUAGUCAUGCUCUAAACAUGGUUUUUUAAUUAUAAGUGACUUUUUGAGUGUCGGAAAGGGAGACGAGUUGGAACCAUGCCCCUAUAGUCAAGCAUAUUCCAGUUCUGAGUAUAAACUGUAUUGGAGUCUGCAGAGUUGAAGAUCCAAUCGCCAAAGCUGGAAAUUAAAGUGAGUGACAAUCUUCAAACUUGUCUACUGGGUCGCUUUUAAAAGUUUGCCUCAAUUUGUUUUCCUUUUUAGUUUCUUCUUUGCUCUUGAUAUUCUUCAUGUUAUUUUUGCAGUGCUGAUGAGGAGAAUGAAAUAAUUUUGAAUGUAGAAUGCCAUUAUACUCGAGCUAAAGUUGUCAACUGCCUUUUCAAAAAUUUUUUUUUUUAUCGGCAACUGCAUUUUCAAUCUUGGAGAUUGUGCAUACGUAAAGGUUUGCUCCCAAUCAAAGAGUAUCUCUGAACCACAUCAUAUUUUGCUUGAUUUUGAUUUUUCACGACACUCCCAAUCUUGAGAUCAUGUAUUCAGAUUGUAUAUGUGGAUUUAUCUAGGUUCUGCUACACAUUUCUAAAUUGGAGAGAAAUGGCGAAUGUUGCUGAAACCUUGUGCAAAAGCGUGCUAGUAGAAAAUCAUAAGUAGCUUUAUUAGGACAAAUACAUGAAGGAAUUGGUCAAAUGGCUUCUACAAAUGUGAUAUAUAUAUAUAUAUAUAUAUAUAUAUAUAUAUAUAUCAUAAUCUGAAAAAUAUAGUCUAUUCAUUAUACUUCUACAUUAUAAACAAGUACAUGCAAAAAAAUGUAAUCUAUAGAAACUUACCCCCAACUAUACAACAUUUUAUGGCAUGUAGGCUGGAGCAUUACAUCGUUCCCAUUACACAGCGGAGGAUUUUCUUGAACUUCUGAAGAGAUGGGAAAAGCUAUGCCAACGGUAUGUUUUGAAUAAUCUAGAUGGAACCCUUAAAUCUAGAGCAGAAGAUACCAGAGAACUCAAAAGCAGUUUAAAUUCUCUAUCUAAUAUUAAGAUUCCUGCCGGAGAAUAUGAAGUUCAGAGCCUAGUUGAUGUGUGUUUUUUGGAGAUCCUACUGAAACAGGGAAGCAUGGGCUAAAAUUUAAGGUAUCUGCAAAUUGGAAAUGCUGUGGCUGUUCCUGUGGCACAAGCGUUAGGGUUUGCAUUAGGAAUGUCCAUUCAAAAGGAAAGCGGGAAUGAACCACUCAUGACUCUACCGCCCAAGUUUGCUUUCAACUACAGCCAUCUGAUGGAAUUCCUGGUUAAUGUUAGGAGAGCUUGCAGGAGAUCUAUCAACAUGUUGGGAUUUUGAAGGCUUUACAUGAUAAAAAGUAAGGCCUCACACUGUACCAGCUACUGAUCGUAGCCUUGGUAAGCUAUUGUCUCACCAACUAGCUAAUCAGACGCAAGUCCCUCCUCAGGCGAAUUCCUCCUUUUUGCUCCUCAGCCUAUGGGAUAUUAGCAGUUGUUUCCAACUGUUGCUCUCCUCCCAAGGACAGGUUCUUACGAAUCACUCACCUGUCCGCCACUGGAAACACCACUUCCUGUCCGACUUCAUAAAAAGCAUCUAUCCCAAUCCGAAUUCAUUUCCAGUGGGCGUGGCUCUCGAAGUCAGGCUAAUCUCUUACAAAGACGUCGCUAAUUGAUGGCCACGGAGUUCGUACCGUAGUGGAGGGGGCCUGGCGUGCUGGGUCUUGGGAGGGAGCUAUUGCUUGGUCUGAUACGGAUACUAAUGGGUUUGUGCAGGAGAAGAAUGGUGCAAAGUUCGGCAGCUACGGGCGGAGGAGGUUGCUAUUUUCAGAGCUCUGUAUUAGGCGAACAGAUGAUAUCUUCGUGUUGAAGUGCUCUCUGACUGCUUAGUGGUUGUUUGUGAGAAAUUUUUCAAUGGGUGUCACGUGAUACUCGCUCGGCACAGUAUCACUCGGCACAUCCAAGCCGUCUAAUGCGAUUUUGGAUGGCUUGGAUUUGGAAAGAGAAAGGAAGAGAGAAAGAGGAGGGGUGAGAGGAGAGAUAAUGUUUCAAUCUGAGCCGUCCGAAAAUGCAUCGGACGGCUCAGGAGUGCUAAGCGGACACCACGUGUGAUAUACCCGCUAGGCAUUGAAAAUUUUCUCUGUUGUUUGGGGCUUGAUUUCCUCGGAUAGUGCUGAUGUAUUGGUAGUGCCUGUUUUGUUGGAUAUUAAUGAUCUUGAUCAUGUAACUAUUUAUGAGUGCUGCUCACUGGAUGCCAAAUCUGUACUGCACUAAUAUACUAUUAACGAACGAAGUUAAUUAAUUCCUCAAAAAAAAAAAGUAAUAUACGGAGUAUUUUCUGAUCAA